rnacentral:rRNA from 1 species
GAUGAACGCUGGCGGCGUGCCUAACACAUGCAAGUCGAGCGAUUCUCUUCGGAGAAGAGCGGCGGACGGGUGAGUAACGCGUGGGUAACCUGCCCUGUACACACGGAUAACAUACCGAAAGGUAUGCUAAUACGAGAUAAUAUACUUUUAUCGCAUGGUAGAAGUAUCAAAGCUCCGGCGGUACAGGAUGGACCCGCGUCUGAUUAGCUAGUUGGUAAGGUAACGGCUUACCAAGGCGACGAUCAGUAGCCGACCUGAGAGGGUGAUCGGCCACAUUGGAACUGAGACACGGUCCAAACUCCUACGGGAGGCAGCAGUGGGGAAUAUUGCACAAUGGGCGAAAGCCUGAUGCAGCAACGCCGCGUGAGCGAUGAAGGCCUUCGGGUCGUAAAGCUCUGUCUCAAGGAAGAUAAUGACGGUACUUGAGGAGGAAGCCCCGGCUAACUACGUGCCAGCAGCCGCGGU